rnacentral:lncRNA from 1 species
UCCAAUAAUCAAAAUGGUACGGCUGUGACUCCAAAACCGCUUCAAUGUCUUCUUCCUUCUCAAAAUGAAACUGGAACAUCCCCUUUCCCAAAUCUGCACCAGUCACCCUCUCUUCCACCUUCCAUAUCUUCGGCAACAUCACCAGCAACGAGUUGACUUUUUGCGCAACCGGGUUCAUACACCUCCCAAUCAGAGUCAUUGCAUAGCUCUUGAUAAGGUCCGAGUUAUCGAAAUGAGGAACGGAGAUCUUCAAUCUUUUGCGAACUCCUUCUCCCUCCUUCGAGGCUCCCCCCUUUCCCACCAAUUGUCCCUGACUCAUAGAUACCAAAGAAAAAACAACCAGAAAC